CCAGAAAAAGCAAACAAGAGAACUUUCCGACGCUGGAGACCGUAUUCACAAAACUACAACUCCUCUCAUAUUUUGACCAACAUCAAGUCACAUCUCAGAUCUCUAGCAAUGUACUGGAACAGAUAACCAGCUUUGCUUCAGGGACAUCCUACCAUCUUCCCUUGGCGCACCACAUUCAACUUAUCUUUGAUCUUAUGGAGCCAGCCUUGAACAUCAAUGGGCUUAUUGACUUUGCUAUCCAGCUGCUCAAUGAAUUGAGUGUGGUCGAGGCAGAAUUGCUCCUGAAGUCCUCCAGCUUGGCAGGAAGUUACACAACAGGCUUGUGCGUGUGUAUUGUGGCUGUGCUGAGGCGCUACCAUGCCUGCCUCAUCCUGAAUCCAGACCAGACUGCC